GAUGAACGCUGGCGGCGUGCUUAACACAUGCAAGUCGAACGAAGCACUUUAUUUGAUUUCCUUCGGGACUGAUUAUUUUGUGACUGAGUGGCGGACGGGUGAGUGACGCGUGGGUAACCUGCCUUGUACAGGGGGAUAACAGUUGGAAACGGCUGCUAAUACCGCAUAAGCGCACAGCAUCGCAUGACGCAGUGUGAAAAACUCCGGUGGUAUAAGAUGGACCCGCGUUGGAUUAGCUAGUUGGUGAGGUAACGGCCCACCAAGGCAACGAUCCAUAGCCGACCUGAGAGGGUGACCGGCCACAUUGGGACUGAGACACGGCCCAAACUCCUACGGGAGGCAGCAGUGGGGAAUAUUGCACAAUGGGCGAAAGCCUGAUGCAGCGACGCCGCGUGAGCGAAGAAGUAUUUCGGUAUGUAAAGCUCUAUCAGCAGGGAAGAUAAUGACGGUACCUGACUAAGAAGCACCGGCUAAAUACGUGCCAGCAGCCGCCGUAA
rnacentral:rRNA from 1 species